rnacentral:rRNA from 1 species
GUUAGGAAUAUUGGACAAUGGGCGCAAGCCUGAUCCAGCCAUGCCGCGUGAGUGAUGAAGGCCUUCGGGUUGUAAAGCUCUUUAGUCCACGAAUAUAAUGACUGUAGUGGAAGAAUAAGCCCCGGCUAACUUCGUGCCAGCAGCCGCGGUAAUACGAAGGGGGCGAGCGUUAUUCGGAAUCACUGGGCGUAAAGCGUGCGGAGGCUGUUUUGUAAGUCAGAAGUGAAGGCCCAGGGCGUAACCCUGGAAUUGCUUUUGAAACUACAAGACUCGAAUUCGGGAGAGGAUAGCGGAAUUGUCAGUGUAGCAGUGAAAUGCGUAGAUAUUGACAGGAACACCAGUGGCGCAAGCGGCUAUCUGGACCGAUAUUGACGCUGAGGCACGAAAGCGUGGGGAGCAAACAGGAUUAGAAACCCGGGUAGUCC